CGAACCGGGACCCGAACCGGGACCGAACCGGGACCCAGAGACCUGAACCAGGGACUCCCAUUAACAAACCGGGACCCGGAGCCCCGAACCGGGACCCAGAGCCCUGAACCGGGACUUCCAUUGACGAACCGGGACCCGAACCGGGACCGAACCGGGACUUCCAUUGACGAACCGGGACCCGGAACCGGGACCGAACCGGGACUUCCAUUAACGAACCAGGACCCGAACCGGGACCGAACCGGGACUUCCAUUAACGAACCGGGACCCGAACCGGGACCGAACCGGGACCGAACCGGGACCUGGAACCGGGAUCCGAACCGGGUUUCUAUUGAACCGGGACCCGGAACCGGGACUUCCAUUGAUAAACGGGAGCCCGGAACCGGAGACCCGAACCGGGAUCUAACAGAGUCGAACCGGAGCUCGGAACCGGGUCAUUCCAUCUCCGAACCGGGUUUAGAACCGGGACUUCCACAACCGAACCGGAACCGGGACUUUAACCGGGACCCCAGAGCAGCGAACCGGGACUUCUAUUACCAAACUGGAACCGGAGCUCGGAACCGGAGCCGGGUAUUUCUAUUACCGAACCGGAACCGGGUUUGUCCAUUACCGAACCGGGAUUCAGAACCAGAACCGGAACCGGAGACUUUUAGUGUUGAUUUCCACCGCCGAACCGGGCUCAGAACCGGGAUUUUCAUCGUUGAACCGGAUUAUUUCACAUCCGAACCGGGAUCAGAACCGGGAUCAGAACCGGAACCGAACCGGGACCAGAACCGGGGAUUUAUAACCGAAUUAAAGGCUAAAACCGGUUGUUUCAAGCUUAAAACCGCUACUGGAUCCUAUAACCGAACCGGAACCGAACCGGAACCGGAACCGAACCGGGACCAGAACCGGGGAUUUAUAACCGAAUUAAAGCCUAAAACCGGUUGUUUCAAGCUUAAAACCGCUACCGGAUCCUAUAACCGAACCGAACCGGAACUGAAACCGAACCGGGACCAGAACCGGGGAUUUAUAACCGAAUUAAAGCCUAAAACCAGUUGUUUCAAGCUCAAAACCGGAACCGGACCGGAACCGAACCGGAACCGGAACCGAACCGGAACCGAACCGGGACCAGAACCGGGGAUUUAUAACCGAAUUAAAGCCUAA
rnacentral:lncRNA from 1 species